UUAAGUUAGAAAGGGCGCACGGUGGAUGCCUUGACACUAGGAGUCGAUGAAGGACGGGACUAACGCCGAUAUGCUUCGGGGAGCUGUAAGUAAGCUUUGAUCCGAAGAUUUCCGAAUGGGGAAACCCACCAUACGUAAUGGUAUGGUAUCCUUAUCUGAAUACAUAGGGUAAGGAAGACAGACCCAGGGAACUGAAACAUCUAAGUACCUGGAGGAAGAGAAAGCAAAUGCGAUUUCCUGAGUAGCGGCGAGCGAAACGGAACAUAGCCCAAACCAAGAGGCUUGCCUCUUGGGGUUGUAGGACAUUCUAUACGGAGUUACAAAGGAACGAGGUAGACGAAGCGACCUGGAAAGGUCCGUCGUAGAGGGUAACAACCCCGUAGUCGAAACUUCGUUCUCUCUUGAAUGUAUCCUGAGUACGGCGGAACACGUGAAAUUCCGUCGGAAUCUGGGAGGACCAUCUCCCAAGGCUAAAUACUCCCUAGUGAUCGAUAGUGAACCAGUACCGUGAGGGAAAGGUGAAAAGCACCCCGGAAGGGGAGUGAAAGAGAUCCUGAAACCGUGUGCCUACAAAUAGUCAGAGCCCGUUAACGGGUGAUGGCGUGCCUUUUGUAGAAUGAACCGGCGAGUUACGAUCCCGUGCGAGGUUAAGCUGAAGAGGCGGAGCCGCAGCGAAAGCGAGUCUGAAUAGGGCGUUUAGUACGUGGUCGUAGACCCGAAACCAGGUGAUCUACCCAUGUCCAGGGUGAAGUUCAGGUAACACUGAAUGGAGGCCCGAACCCACGCACGUUGAAAAGUGCGGGGAUGAGGUGUGGGUAGCGGAGAAAUUCCAAUCGAACCUGGAGAUAGCUGGUUCUCCCCGAAAUAGCUUUAGGGCUAGCCUUAAGUGUAAGAGUCUUGGAGGUAGAGCACUGAUUGGACUAGGGGUCCUCAUCGGAUUACCGAAUUCAGUCAAACUCCGAAUGCCAAUGACUUAUCCUUAAGAGUCAGACUGCGAGUGAUAAGAUCCGUAGUCAAAAGGGAAACAGCCCAGACCGCCAGCUAAGGUCCCAAAGUGUGUAUUAAGUGGAAAAGGAUGUGGAGUUGCUUAGACAACUAGGAUGUUGGCUUAGAAGCAGCCACCAUUUAAAGAGUGCGUAAUAGCUCACUAGUCGAGUGACUCUGCGCCGAAAAUGUACCGGGGCUAAAUACACCACCGAAGCUGCGGAUUGAUACCGAAUGGUAUCAGUGGUAGGGGAGCGUUCUAAGGACAGUGAAGUCAGACCGGAAGGACUGGUGGAGUGCUUAGAAGUGAGAAUGCCGGUAUGAGUAGCGAAAGACGGGUGAGAAUCCCGUCCACCGAAUGCCUAAGGUUUCCUGAGGAAGGCUCGUCCGCUCAGGGUUAGUCAGGACCUAAGCCGAGGCCGACAGGCGUAGGCGAUGGACAACAGGUUGAUAUUCCUGUACCACCUCUUUAUCGUUUGAGCAAUGGAGGGACGCAGAAGGAUAGAAGAAGCGUGCGAUUGGUUGUGCACGUCCAAGCAGUUAGGCUGAUAAGUAGGCAAAUCCGCUUAUCGUAAAGGCUGAGCUGUGAUGGGGAAGCUCCUUAUGGAGCGAAGUCUUUGAUUCCCCGCUGCCAAGAAAAGCUUCUAGCGAGAUAAAAGGUGCCUGUACCGCAAACCGACACAGGUAGGCGAGGAGAGAAUCCUAAGGUGUGCGAGAGAACUCUGGUUAAGGAACUCGGCAAAAUGACCCCGUAACUUCGGGAGAAGGGGUGCUUUCUUAACGGAAAGCCGCAGUGAAUAGGCCCAAGCGACUGUUUAGCAAAAACACAGCUCUCUGCGAAGCCGUAAGGCGAAGUAUAGGGGGUGACACCUGCCCGGUGCUGGAAGGUUAAGGAGAGGGGUUAGCGUAAGCGAAGCUCUGAACUGAAGCCCCAGUAAACGGCGGCCGUAACUAUAACGGUCCUAAGGUAGCGAAAUUCCUUGUCGGGUAAGUUCCGACCCGCACGAAAGGUGUAACGAUUUGGGCACUGUCUCAACCAGAGACUCGGUGAAAUUAUAGUACCUGUGAAGAUGCAGGUUACCCGCGACAGGACGGAAAGACCCCGUGGAGCUUUACUGUAGCCUGAUAUUGAAUUUUGGUACAGUUUGUACAGGAUAGGCGGGAGCCUUUGAAACCGGAGCGCUAGCUUCGGUGGAGGCGCUGGUGGGAUACCGCCCUGACUGUAUUGAAAUUCUAACCUACGGGUCUUAUCGACCCGGGAGACAGUGUCAGGUGGGCAGUUUGACUGGGGCGGUCGCCUCCUAAAGUGUAACGGAGGCGCCCAAAGGUUCCCUCAGAAUGGUUGGAAAUCAUUCGUAGAGUGCAAAGGCAUAAGGGAGCUUGACUGCGAGACCUACAAGUCGAGCAGGGACGAAAGUCGGGCUUAGUGAUCCGGUGGUUCCGCAUGGAAGGGCCAUCGCUCAACGGAUAAAAGCUACCCCGGGGAUAACAGGCUUAUCUCCCCCAAGAGUCCACAUCGACGGGGAGGUUUGGCACCUCGAUGUCGGCUCAUCGCAUCCUGGGGCUGUAGUCGGUCCCAAGGGUUGGGCUGUUCGCCCAUUAAAGCGGUACGCGAGCUGGGUUCAGAACGUCGUGAGACAGUUCGGUCCCUAUCCGUCGUGGGCGUAGGAAAUUUGAGAGGAGCUGUCCUUAGUACGAGAGGACCGGGAUGGACGCACCGCUGGUGUACCAGUUGUUCUGCCAAGGGCAUAGCUGGGUAGCUAUGUGCGGAAGGGAUAAGUGCUGAAAGCAUCUAAGCAUGAAGCCCCCCUCAAGAUGAGAUUUCCCAUAGCGUAAGCUAGUAAGAUCCCUGAAAGAUGAUCAGGUUGAUAGGUUCGAGGUGGAAGCAUGGUGACAUGUGGAGCUGACGAAUACUAAUAGAUCGAGGACUUAACCAU
rnacentral:rRNA from 1 species